rnacentral:rRNA from 1 species
CGCAGCAACGCCGCGUGGGGGAUGAAGGCCUUCGGGUUGUAAACCCCUUYCMGGAGGGACGAAAUUGACGGUACCUCCAGAAGAAGCACCGGCCAACUACGUGCCAGCAGCCGCGGUAAUACGUAGGGUGCGAGCGUUAUCCGGAAUCAUUGGGCGUAAAGAGCUCGUAGGCGGUUCAACAAGUCGGCUGUGAAAUCCCGAGGCUCAACCUCGGAACUGCAGUCGAUACUGUUGUGACUAGAGUCCGGUAGAGGAGAGUGGAAUUCCCGGUGUAGCGGUGGAAUGCGCAGAUAUCAGGAGGAACACCGGAGGCGAAGGCGGCUUGCUGGACAGACACUGACGCUGAGGCGCGAAAGCUAGGGGAGCAAACGGGAUUAGAUACCCCGGUAGUCCUAGCCGUAAACGAUGGGUACUUGGUGUGGGGGGUGAUGAAGUCCCUCCGUGCCGGCGAUAACUCGUUAAGUACCCCGCCUGGGGAGUACGAUCGCAAGAUUGAAACUCAAAGGAAUUGACGGGGGCCCGCACAAGCGGUGGAGCAUGUGGUUUAAUUCGACGCAACGCGAAGAACCUUACCGGGGUUUGAACUGCAGUGGACAGCGGCAGAGAUGUCGUGUUCUCUUCGGAGACUGCUGCAGAGGUGCUGCAUGGCUGUCGUCAGCUCGUGUCGUGAGAUGUUGGGUUAAGUCCCGCAACGAGCGCAACCCUUGUCUGUAGUUGCCA